rnacentral:rRNA from 1 species
CAAUAGCGUAUAUUAAAGUUGUUGCAGUUAAAAAGCUCGUAGUUGGAUUUCUGGUCGGAAGCUCCUGUCCUCUGAUGAGCGUACAAGUGCGUCCUACCAUCCUUCUGUUAACCUUUAAGGCUUUCGCGGCUUUCUAGGGGCUCAGAUAUUUUACCUUGGGAAAAUUAGAGUGUUUCAGGCAGGCUAGCGCCGGAAUACAUUAGCAUGGAAUAAUGGAAUAGGACUUUUGCCUCUUCUGUUGGUCAUGAGGCUCGAGUAAUGAUUAAUAGGGAUAGUUGGGGGCAUUAGUACUUAACUGUCAGAGGUGAAAUUCUCGGAUUUGUUAAAGACUAACUUAUGCGAAAGCAUUUGCCAAGGAUGUUUUCAUUAA